UACGGAGGGUGCAAACGUUGCUCGGAAUCAUUGGGCGUAAAGCGCACGUAGGCGGCCGAUUAAGUCGGAUGUGAAAGCCCCGGGCUCAACCCGGGAAGUGCAUACGAAACUGGUCGGCUUGAAUAUGGAAGAGGGUCGCGGAAUUCCCGGUGUAGAGGUGAAAUUCGUAGAUAUCGGGAGGAACACCGGUGGCGAAGGCGGCCAUCUGGACGGAUACUGACGCUGAGACGCGAAAGCGUGGGUAGCAAACAGG
rnacentral:rRNA from 1 species